GUGCUUCCUUCAGCAGCACAUAAACUAAAAGUGGAACAAUACAGAGAAGAUUGGCUGGCCUCUGUACAAGGGUGACAUAAAAAUUAGUGAAGCAUUUCAUAUUUUU
ensembl:snRNA U6 U6 spliceosomal RNA